rnacentral:lncRNA from 1 species
GGUGACCCCGGCUCGGCCUUCAAGGAUGCUGAACACGGUCUCUCAGUUCCUCCCGGGGUCACGGUGGCCCUCUCCCACCCCAGACCAACGUCCCAGCCAGCCCCUCCCCUCAUCACCUCUUUCCCUCUCCCCAAUUCAGUAAAACUCCUGAUUCGUGUGAGCUCACACAGCUCAAUAGCAUUUCUAUUCUCUGUCAGCGACUCCCAUUGAGGAAUUUGCUGCGAUUCAGGAGACGUUGCCGAUCCCAGGGAAAGGGGAUGACCCCGUCAGCUUUUUUUCCUGAGCUCAAUGUUUACUGUCGACAAGGUUUUUUUUCACAUGAUUUGCUGAUGGUGACAAGGGCUGUCAUCCUGGCAAAACAUCCCCAGCCAACACAGCAUUUCAAAAACAGAACUUUUUUGUUUCCCUCAGAAGCCACUGCGGAAGGGUGGAUGACAACCCAAUGUCAUUUGAGUGACUUUGGAGCUCAUUUAGGAGAUCCUAGACUAUUCCAGAAUAUGAUGAAAUCAGCACAAAGUCAUAGGUGAACAGUGUGUAGAGAACCUCCAUCAGAAGUAAAUAGUGCUUUUGUCCAAAGGAGGGUCAGUUUCUCUUACUAAAUGACUAUAAUAUCAUAGCUGGGUGGCUCAAUGGAUUGAGAGCCAGGUCUAGAGACAAAAGAUCCUGGGUUCAAAUAUGGCCUCAGACACUUCCCAGCUGUGUGACCCUAGGCAAGUCACUUACCCCCAUUGCCUAGCCCUUACCACUCUUCUGCCUUGGAGCCAAUACACAGUAUUGGUUCUAAGGUGGAAGGUAAGGGAUUAAAAAUGUUUUUAAUU